UCUACUAUGGCCGGGAAAAAGGUUCCGGGUCGAGAUCUUGCGAGGGUGAGCUAACUCCAAAAACCCGUCCUCGGUUCGGAUUGUAGGCUGCAACUCGCCUGCAUGAAGGGGCUG